UUUCUUUAUUCUCAGGUGCGUAUCGUGGGUUAAUUUUUGCCAUUACUUCCAGAUUUGUUUGUUUAGAGAGACGUAUUGUGAGAAUUAGGUUAGGGUUUCGAUCAGGGUUAGGGUUAGGGUUUAUUGUUGAAGCUCCAAUUUCUGUAUAACUUGAAGAGAUGGACUCAGAAGGUAGUGAGAUUAAGAGAUCCCAAGAGGAGAGGAAGAAGAUGGAGCAAGACCUGGCUUCCCUCACGUCGGUUACGUUUGAUACCGACUAGUACAGUGCUGA
rnacentral:lncRNA from 1 species